GAUGAACGCUAGCGGCAGGCCUAACACAUGCAAGUCGAGGGGCAGCACGGGUAGCAAUACUUGGUGGCGACCGGCGCACGGGUGAGUAACGCGUAUGCAAUCUACCCUUUACAGAGGGAUAGCUCAGGGAAACCUGAAUUAAUACCUUAUAAGACUACACGAUGGCAUCAAAGAGUAGUAAAAGUUACGACGGUAAAGGAUGAGCAUGCGUGACAUUAGCUAGUUGGUGAGGUAACGGCUCACCAAUGCUACGAUGUCUAAGGGGUCUGAGAGGAUGAUCCCUCACACUGGUACUGAGACACGGACCAGACUCCUACGGGUGGCAGCA
rnacentral:rRNA from 1 species